GAGUUUGAUCCUGGCUCAGGAUGAACGCUGGCGGCGUGCCUAAUACAUGCAAGUCGAGCGAAUGGAUUAAGAGCUUGCUCUUAUGAAGUUAGCGGCGGACGGGUGAGUAACACGUGGGUAACCUGCCCAUAAGACUGGGAUAACUCCGGGAAACCGGGGCUAAUACCGGAUAACAUUUUGAACCGCAUGGUUCGAAAUUGAAAGGCGGCUUCGGCUGUCACUUAUGGAUGGACCCGCGUCGCAUUAGCUAGUUGGUGAGGUAACGGCUCACCAAGGCAACGAUGCGUAGCCGACCUGAGAGGGUGAUCGGCCACACUGGGACUGAGACACGGCCCAGACUCCUACGGGAGGCAGCAGUAGGGAAUCUUCCGCAAUGGACGAAAGUCUGAUGGAGCAACGCCGCGUGAGUGAUGAAGGCUUUCGGGUCGUAAAACUCUGUUGUUAGGGAAGAACAAGUGCUAGUUGAAUAAGCUGGCACCUUGACGGUACCUAACCAGAAAGCCACGGCUAACUACGUGCCAGCAGCCGCGGUAAUACGUAGGUGGCAAGCGUUAUCCGGAACUAUUGGGCGUAAAGCGCGCGCAGGUGGUUUCUUAAGUCUGAUGUGAAAGCCCACGGCUCAACCGUGGAGGGUCAUUGGAAACUGGGAGACUUGAGUGCAGAAGAGGAAAGUGGAAUUCCAUGUGUAGCGGUGAAAUGCGUAGAGAUAUGGAGGAACACCAGUGGCGAAGGCGACUUUCUGGUCUGUAACUGACACUGAGGCGCGAAAGCGUGGGGAGCGAACAGGAUUAGAUACCCUGGUAGUCCACGCCGUAAACGAUGAGUGCUAAGUGUUAGAGGGUUUCCGCCCUUUAGUGCUGA
rnacentral:rRNA from 1 species